UUUCCUACGGGACGCAGCAGUGGGGAAUAUUGCACAAUGGGGGAAACCCUGAUGCAGCGACGCCGCGUGAGUGAAGAAGUAUUUCGGUAUGUAAAGCUCUAUCAGCAGGGAAGAAAAUGACGGUACCUGACUAAGAAGCCCCGGCUAACUACGUGCCAGCAGCCGCGGUAAUACGUGGGGGGCAAGCGUUAUCCGGAUUUACUGGGUGUAAAGGGCGCGUAGGCGGGAUGGCAAGUCAGAUGUGAAAUCCAGGGGCUCAACCCCUGAACUGCACUUGAAACUGUCGUUCUUGAGUACUGGAGAGG
rnacentral:rRNA from 1 species